GACCACGUAGCUCAGUUGGUAGAGCAUUGGACUAGUAUCCCAAAGGUCGCGCGUUUGAUUCCCACCGUGGCCA
rnacentral:tRNA from 1 species